rnacentral:lncRNA from 12 species
GCAGAACUGUAAUUAUUUACAAAAUGAUGGCAUGAGAAAUCUCUGGAUUUAUAUCUUACGUUAAAGUAACUUAGAUGGUGUCCACAUAAUUCUUGAAUUCGUGCUAAGAAGUUAAAAUUUCUUCAGGAGAAAAAAAAAGAUAAUAUAAUCGUCGGAAUCCUUUGCUCACACACCAAAAUGAUUUUGAUUUUUAUGUAGGAGAACACUUGAUGUUCAAGUCACUUCAAACUA